rnacentral:lncRNA from 1 species
GGGAACCUGGCUGACAGCAGGCUGAGCCACCCUAGUAUCGCGGCCCGCGAGCGCGCGGGCGGGUGGCGCCAAGUGGUCAGCGUAUUAGGCCCCUAUUUUAAAUUCCAAAAGGUAGGUGCCACCAAAGCUCUCAGAUUCUUCAUCUACAGUUGCGGAUAUUCUGAGCAUUUCUGGACUGGGAAAGCCCGCUUUUCACCCACCUGCCAAAGGAGUUGAAAGCAUGUAGGUUCCCACCGCUGCGGGGGAACCCGGACUGUCAGACUCCCUCAUCAGGCUGCUCCUCUCGAGUAUUUCGGGGCACGGACUUGCUCGUCUCCGGAAGACAGUACGGUCUGCUCCUCGUGGGUCUUUAGAGAAAGAACACAGCUGUUGUCUGAAUAUUUAACUCUGUGGUGAUAAGGUAUGCACUCAGAAGUACCCAGAAGAUCCUGCACAGUUAGCAGUUAUUUCUUCCAACAUGUUUGUUUCCUCAGAUAGAAGGAAAGAGAAAAUUUACAUUUUGUGCAAGAAAAAAAAUAAGUAAAAUUUACACUUGUGGAUAGAUUAGUGUCCAGUUUUAAAAAGUAAUUCUGUCUGAGCUUGAACCAUUUUUUUUUCACAAAACACAUAACAUUGGAAGAAAUUAUAACACUAGUAAUAAAAACUUAACUUGAAAUAGCCUCUAGUUUUAGUGCUUUUUAAUAGAUAGUAUUUUUGUGGAUUGAAAUAAAGUUCCACUGAACCAACGUGUCAUAAAUGCACCUUGAUUUGGUUUUCCGUUUAACAAUUUAAGAAGUCUUUUUUCCCCUGCAUUCACACUGUCAUAUAAACAAAAUAAUGUUAGCAAAAUUUAUCAAGACAUUUUAAAAAUAUGUUCAAGUAUGUCCAAUUAGGUAUUUGAGGAUUGUUACAGGUUUUACUCCAUCUGACUAUUAAGAAAAUGAGAUUGUUUUUUCUUCCAAAGACUGUUAAAUAUGUGUGUGUGGGCAAUAACCACAGAAAGAUUUAAUUGGUUUUGAGUCAGUUAAGAUUGAAAGUGUUCUGGUUUUUAGUGGCCAUGAAGUUAACACAAAAACUUAUUAAAAGGGAAAAUUGAAUGUGCAAGCUCCAACUCUUUCUUAAAGUUCACUGACUCUUCAUGAACUUCUCACUGACUGACCAAAGACUUGCUUAUAACUUCUCCUACAUUUGAACCUUGUAUGUUGUCAUAUUGUGAUUUAAGUUGAUAUUAAGCCAGUCCUUGCAGAUUUAACUAUAUUUACACUCAAAGCUGGCAGAUUAAAAAAAGUGUGAGUAAAAGCAGAGUUCCUUCUGGGUGUAAAUGAUGUGU